rnacentral:rRNA from 1 species
GUCAAGAUAGUAAGGGCGUACGGUGGAUGCCUUGGCACCAGGAGUAGAUGAAGGACGUGAACGGCUGCGAUAAGCCGCGGUGAGGCGCUGAAUAGCCUUUGACCCGCGGAUUUCCGAAUGGGGAAACCCGGCGCUGGUAAUGCGGCGUCAUCUGUCGGUGAAUACAUAGCCGGCAGAGUGCAAGCGAGCGAACUGAAACAUCUAAGUAGCUCGAGGAAAGAAAAUCAAACGAGACUCCCUGAGUAGUGGCGAGCGAAAAGGGAUCAGCCCAAACCGACCCGUUGUAAGAGCACAUUCGUUGCCGGGUCGGGGUUGUAGGAAGUCUGUCCAGAGCAUGUGCGCUCUGGCGGCAGUUACCAAGUCAGGUGUUAGUCGAAGCGAGUGGAACCUCGCACCACAGAGGGCAAACGUCCCGUAGACGAAAACGCACUGACCUGCCGAUGACUUUCCUGAGUAGGACCACACCCGUGAAACGUGGUCUGAAUCUGGGGGGACCACCCUCCAAGGCUAAGUACUCCCUGGUGACCGAUAGUGAACUAGUACCGUGAGGGAAAGGUGAAAAGUACCCCGGAAGGGGAGUGAAAUAGUACCUGAAACCAUACGCCUACAAGCGGUCGGAGCAUCUUCGGAUGUGACGGCGUGCUUUUUGCAUAACGAGCCUGCGAGUUACUCUUCAGUGGCAAGGUUAAGCGAUGAGCGGAGCCGCAGCGAAAGCGAGUCUGAAUAGGGCGACAUAGUCAUUGGAGGUAGACCCGAAACUGAGCGAGCUAUCCAUGGGCAGGCUGAAGCGUGGGUAAGACCACGUGGAGGGCCGAACCGACCUAGGGUGAAAACUGGGCGGAUGACCUGUGGAUCGGAGUGAAAGGCUAAUCAAGCUCAGAGAUAUCUGGUUCUCACCGAAAUAUAUUUAGGUAUAGCGUCGAGCGUUAUAUGUUGUGGCCGUAGAGCACUGCUUGGACUAGGGGCCCCACCAGGUUACCGACUUCAGGCAAACUCCGAAGACCAUUACAUUUAGCUCGGCAGUCAGCGCAUGGGGGAUAAACUUCAUGUGCGAGAGGGGAACAACCCAGACCGUCGGUUAAGGUCCCUAAGUACUAGCUAAGUGGUAAACGAUGUCCGAAUGCAUAGACAACCAAGAGGUUGGCUUAGAAGCAGCCACCCUUGAAAGAGUGCGUAACAGCUCACUGGUCAAGUGUUCGGGCGCGGAUAAUGUAACGGGGCUAAAGCUAGUCACCGAAACUACGGGUUCACAACCCUGCGGGGUUUGUGAGCGGUAGGUGAGCGUUCUCAGUGUGUAAGCGUUGGCGUAAGCCUUCGUGCGGUGCUGAGAAGUGAGAAUGCAGGCAUGAGUAACGAAAGAGGAGUGAGAAUCUCCUCCACUGAUUGUCCAAGGUUUCCUGAGUAAAGUUCGUCUGCUCAGGGUUAGUCUGGACCUAAGGCGAGGCCGAAAGGCGUAGUCGAUGGCUAACAGGUUGAUAUUCCUGUACCACGUAGCAUCCGUUACCACCGAUGUGGGGACGGGGAAGGGUAAGUGAACCCAGGCGAUGGUUGUCCUGGGGCAAGUACGUAGCCAGUCGCUGUAGGAAAAUCCGCAGCGGCGUUUUUACGCGAGGUGCGAUGCCAGCUGGAUUGAGUUCCGGCCAGUCACUGAGCCCAUGCCUCCUAGAAAAGCCACUAGGGAGGAUGCACGUGCCAGUACCGAUAACCGACACAGGUGGACACGUAGAAGAUACUAAGGUGAGCGAGAUAACCAUCGUUAAGGAACUCGGCAAAAUCGCCCCGUAACUUCGGGAUAAGGGGCGCCUCGAUAGGGUGAAGUCCAUACGGAUGGAGCUCGAGGAGGCCGCAGUGAAUUGGUCCAACCGACUGUUUACCAAAAACACAGGGCU